UUCGCACUCAGUCCCUGCACUGUUCUCGGUGCGUAGCUGAGCUGAUGUCUGCCCAUUUCGUCGUGGUUAGCUUUGCUUUGAUCUAGUUGUAGUGUGGUGCUUAUGCCACGGUUAGUCGUGGUUUUGUGUCGUGUUCCGGAAUGCUUAGUUGGGGCUUUCGCUGUGGUUUUGGAGGCCAUAUAUGCUGUCUACUAGUUGCUUGUGCAUAUUUUUUUUUUUCCUUUAUUUACUUUUUUAUUUCUUCUCUCUUUCUGGUUGUAGUGUAUCGAAGGGCCUCAGUGAUCAGAUUUGGUAAUCUGCCGUCUGGCUGGAACUUCCAUUAAAACUACACAGAACAUGUAAGGGUUUGAGCGGAUGUUUGUGUUGCGGAGAGUGGUUACGAGGCAAUCUGUCUAGAGUCACUCGUGUGCUGCUGAUCUAUAGCACAUAGAGCGCUGAAUGUUGCUGAGAACGAUGUCACGGGCAGCUAUUCGACCUUACCCUGAAGAAUCUACCUGCGCAGGAAGAAGCUUCCGUGAACAGCGUGAUAGUGAAGCGUCUGAAUGUUUUCGAGGUGAAUGUUGUCGGUGAUGGGUUCAAUGUCAUGCACCACAUUGAGUCUCAUGUGCUGAGAUUACUAUUACACCAAUAUAAACACUGAGACAUAAAUUUCUGGGCCAGAGGGUUACGGACUGCCCUCUCUGCCUUUUCUGAAGUAUCGGGUUUAAUAGGUCAUCUGGUCCAUAUAGGUUUGGAAUGACGGACGCGGUAAAUGUCUGCGAUGAUAGAAUUACAAGGAAAGUCUGAUGUUUCGUGUGCCAUGAUGUUACCAAACUGUUUUGGACUAGAGUUUCUGAUCUGGAGUGCAAGCCAGCAUUGAAGAAACCACUCUUGUCUGUUUGAACACGCUACUGCAGUGUGUGCGGGGUGUGCCGGGCGAGAUUCUGUGAACAUGCAAAUGGUUUUGUAUUUGCAGACCAGUGGUAGUAAAUUUGCACUGGAAAUGUCGCUAGGGAGGGCUUGAUUAUGUACUUGAGUCACGUUUUCCAGAUCGAACUAAUAGUGAGCCGCGUUCGUACUGUGCAUCGGCGGCAGAUUGCGGAGUUGUCCGCAUCCGUUGUAGUCUAGAUGGUUAGGAUACUCGGCUCUCACCCGAGCGACCCGGGUUCGAGUCCCGGCAACGGAAGCUCCCGAGUGAAUCACUGGAUUACGUUUCUUUUUGCUUGUUCUUUUUAUUUGUCCUGUAAGGUUCUGUGCCUUCUCGUCUUUCAAGGCCUCCUGGAGAGAACCGAAGCCAUGCUUCAACAUAAACUAAAAUUGAUAAUAUAUAAUAGUGUACUCACAAAGAAGUCCGUAACAUUUGAAAACAGAGAUAGUCACUCCAAUUGUACACCCAUGAUCCUACACAAUUCAGAGUUGUUACUUCAACAACCAUCCACCCAAACAUUUUCGGUUUUUUGAUGUCUACCUUCUGCAGCAUAUAGACAGAGGGAUACAUUGAAUCAUUAAAAAUUAAAGAAUUGGCGCUCCUUUUUAAUAACCUUCAUAUUAUUGGUUGAAAUAUGAUAUUUUGCAUUCAUUCUAUGCACAUGUCGAAUACGAGCCAGUGAUGUAAGAAGUUCAUGUCGAAUACGAGCCAGUGAUGUAAGAAGUUCUCCGUUCCAGAAGAGGCACUGCCUCGCCGAGGCGCCUGAGAUUAUUGGUUGUUGAAAAUAAGCCCUGAUCGGGUCUUCUUCCACGCUUCCCAGGGAGCUCGCCAUACGUCCGACCCUGCGCUGUACACGAUCGGUAAACAACAUGAACUGGAUAUGAGGGGGCCACUGACCUACUCGUUUCGGACGCAGAGCGUACGCGAUGUUGGUGGAGUGUUCUCCAGGGAGCAAAGUCUGGAAGCAGUCCCUGUACGAGGAGUUUUGUCAUUAGCGUAUGGAUCUGAACCUCUGGAUCAAGCAAAUUUACCCUCCCAAUUUGUGAGGGAUUGUCAAAGAAUCCCAAGCAACCUUGGCACGGCAUUUCCGUUCCCCAUCCUCGCCACUCCAUAUAUAAUUCCGAAUGAGUGAACAGACCUUGUUCACCGUGCGAGGGGAAGGGCUCCAACACAAUGCAACGUACCACAUUGAUGUCAGUAGCACUUGAUUGGCGAUUGAAAUUCUGGUGGCCAAUGAAAGCUUGGUAGUGGCCCAGUAAUCAAGCUCCUAAUUUCAGGUUUUUUAAUGUCAAUUCAAAACAGGUUUUUGGAGAGUUUCGGAAGCCUACUGAAAAACCUAGGUAUCUUGUCAUCUCCCCUAGUGCCAGCCAUCGAAGCCUAACUUCUUCACCCCAACUGAAAGAUCGCACCUCGUUUGAGAUCCAUAUGGCAUGGGAUUUAUCCCAAUUGAUCUGAGAUCUCGUAGCCCAAGCAAAAAUUGAGAGAAUCUCCUUACUUUUGUGAAGGUUUUCACGCGUAACUUCUAGGUAGAGAUUUGUGUUAUCCGCAAACUGCCUUGGGGACAAGGCAAAUCAGACCUGUGUUUAGUAAGCGAUGUAAUGUACCAUUGAGAGUGUUUCGCGUAGGACUUCAUAAGGUCUGUCCCAAGGAGCUCCCAGAAAUGUUGAAAAAAACUCUGCAGGAAAGCCGUCCACUCCGGGUGCUCUGCUUGUGGGGAGUUCCUUCAGCGCCUCAUAAACUUCAUCUUUGCUAAAAGGUUUUGUAAGGUUGGAAUUCAUGAUUGGGGAGACCUUUGAUGGGAUUUUGGACCAGUCAGAAUUGCGCGCUGAAUCACAUCCCUCCGCGCUCCCCUGUGAAGUGAAGAGGUUGCAGAAGUAAUCCUUUGCAUAGUCCGCCAUGCUUACGUUUGUGAUGUAUUUGCGGUCUUCUGAGUCGCAUAUCAUUUGCAGAGGUGGGGCAGAUUUCACUUCCUGUACACCGAGGAAGAAACAUUUCUUCAUUCUGCCGUCGAGGGAUGCCCAGCGGGAGGAGGAUCUGAUCGCCUGCCAUUCGACUGCUUGUUGUUCUUUUUCAAGAAGUUCCUGGGAGGCCGAGGAGUGUGUGCUUUGUGCUUGGGGAUCUGCUGUGUAUGAAUGGAGGAGGCGUUCUGCGGAGAUCAGUGCACUUCGAAGCUGACGAUUGCGGUCCCAUUUUUCCUUUUCGCGGCGAAUGCCUUUGGCUUAACCAAAACUUUUGACUCUUUCUAGAGUCUUUGCCAGCCAGGCCGACCAUCUAUUGCCGCCCGAGGUUGGCUUCGGUAAGCGUGUGCCGCUCGGGGAGCCAGCAUGACAAUUUAUCGACUAGCGAUGUCUUGAGGAGGUGUGGAGACGCCCAGCUGUAGUUUGGAAUUGGUAGCUUUGGUCAGAGUAAUUUGCUUCCCUAGCUGUUCGCCAAGACACAUUCGGUGGCGAGGCCUGGCGCUGCUCGAACAAUUGUGAUUACCAGCAACGUAAGAGAGGAGGGCGGGGUUUUGCUGCCAAGGACGAGGGUCGAGGAGGGAGCCUCGGUGUGGGAGGUGUGUUUCCCACGCUGUUGGCGGUAGGGAGAGGUGGUGAGUUGGUAGUGAGCCUGCUCGGUUCCUUGGCAGUGGCCAAUUGGUCAGAUUGUGGUGUAUCUGCUAAGGGAGUCCCAGAAGUACUCACAGUGACAAGAAUUAGCACACAGUAGCCUGUCAAGAGCAUCCGGAAGCGUGUCACUGUCAUCAAAGGGUCUAUUAUGUUGACGUUGAGCCAAUCCUGUAAUUCCAGUCAUGAGGGGUGUCUUGAUGGAGCGAAUCCGACGAGAGUCCGGCGUGAAAGAAACUGAGCUUAUGUAUUCCAGCACAUGUUACAUUAUUUCGCCACGUUGGCAUAAUGAUUAAUCAACGUUGCUGUUCAUAUAAUAAUAAGACUCAGUUUUUUGUCGAA